CUUCGUGUGCUCUAGUGACAUUUAAAUAUACGUUAUUUUCAGGAAACUGAACUGGGCUAUUUUCCUUACUUUCUCUGAAGGGUUUUAUAAUUAUUUUAUAAUUAUUGAAGAUAAUUAUUAACAAAAUGUGUACUCAGAUGAUUAAUGUAAUCUUUCUGCUUAACCUAUACUCCUAUCCAAGUAAACAUUUAUUUCUUGUUUAAAUUAAGAACAAAUAAAAGCCUACAUUGUGUAACCUGAAGAAAAAUUGAAACAGGAUCAGCUCAAGUUUUCCUCAACUUAAAUUUCUGUGGUAUUUUGACCUAUUCUGCGUGAACACUGUGGAGGUGUUGUGCUACUUGAAAAUGACCACAGUUAAAUUGGUGUGCUGUUUUAACUCAAGUACAAUCUGUAUUUUGAUUCCGCAGAUGGAGGUGCUGUGCCAUUGCUACUAAAGAAGCCCUGACCACCCCACAGCUCAUUGACUGAAGCCUGACCUUGCUGCAUUCAUGACCUGCACAGUGCCCCAACCAAGCUUUGUUUGGUCUCCAGACAAAAAAAUCUACAUUAAAUGGACCAAAAAGGAAGAAGUCUGAAAAUUGACUGGCAGCUAUCAGCAAAUUGAAGACAGGGAAACUUUCAGAAGCAUUUGCUUUCUAAGCUGCUGUUGCCUGCAGUCUUCUUGAUACCAGAAUUUUAUUUGCUUCCUGCAUUUUGUUGGAAGCUUUUGACUGAGAAUACAAGAAAAAAGUAUUUGAAUUGCUUUUGGAUUUCUUACAGAGGUUUUAUCUUAUUUUUAAAAUCUGUGAGCUGGAUGUGCAUUUCAUUCCUUCUCAUUUUUCCUUUUGCUGCUGAAUAUGUUUGUAUCCAGCACAAAGUGGAAUGCAAAAUAAUUGAGUAAUUUGUAAUACUGAAUAUUAAUACUGAAAAUAACACAACCCCCAAUAUUCUCAGCAGUUCCAUUUGUAACUCAAGAUUUGACCUGUAGUAGAGAUAACAAAGUAUUUUGAUAUUAUCAGAGUUCUGUUUGCAUUAAAACUUUAAAAAUCUG